rnacentral:rRNA from 1 species
AACGAACGCUGGCGGCAUGCCUAACACAUGCAAGUCGAACGAGAUCUUCGGGUCUAGUGGCGCACGGGUGCGUAACGCGUGGGAAUCUGCCCUUUGGUUCGGAAUAACAGUUGGAAACGACUGCUAAUACCGGAUGAUGGCGAAAGUCCAAAGAUUUAUCGCCAGAGGAUGAGCCCGCGUAGGAUUAGCUAGUUGGUGUGGUAAAGGCGCACCAAGGCGACGAUCCUUAGCUGGUCUGAGAGGAUGAUCAGCCACACUGGGACUGAGACACGGCCCAGACUCCUACGGGAGGCAGCAGUGGGGAAUAUUGGACAAUGGGCGAAAGCCUGAUCCAGGAAUGCCGCGUGAGUGAUGAAGGCCUUAGGGUUGUAAAGCUCUUUUACCCGGGAUGAUAAUGACAGUACCGGGAGAAUAAGCUCCGGCUAACUCCGUGCCAGCAGCCGCCGUAA